ensembl:lncRNA
GGUGGGGUGGUCACAUGUAUUACAAGAAAGAGAGAUUUGGUCAAAGACAGUACACUAUGAAGAUGAGCUAAAAAUGAUUCUCCAAUUCAAAUCCCCGAUUAGCAAAACUCAUGCGUAGAAGCAAGUCAUCGGGUCAUCUUGCGCCGAAUUGCGCAUGUACAGGCAUUCAAAUCAACGGCAGUCUUUCGAUAUAAACGUGUUUUUGACGAAAAUUAAAACGUGUCAGUUUAUCACUUUCACGAGGUUGGCGUAGUAACAUGUUCAACUACUUAGGAAACUAGCUCGAAUCUAGGUUUUGUCUUUUGGUUUCGAGAAAAUUAACAACUGAGGUAGAUAUUUUCACUUCUCUCAUUGACUUCUCAAGCUCCAAACCCCGGCAUGUUCUGUUUAGUCUAUUUCACAACCGUUCCUGGAAAUCGAGCUAUGCUGCGCCUCUGGGUUUAGAAACUCUGUGAUUUAGUCUAUAAAACAGGUUGUCAGACACCAGUCUACAUCUGGGUAGAGAAACAUCCCAUACAUUCUGAAGUAUGUGCUGUACUUGGCUUCUAUUUUGAACAUCUACUUGUGAUUUCUGUCUGGUUGACAUCCAUCGGCAAGCUUCGUUGACUUAAGGUAGACCAGAAAAGCCACAUCCCAGAAGGGCAGAUGAGCAGCAACGCUGACUAGAAGCACCCGCUGCUGUUACUUUACAAAUGUUUUGAAUUAAAAUAAACGUGUAUCUACACACUGAAGAAGGCUGUAAAGCCGGAAAAUCUGUACACUAUCCCUGAUGCAGUAAAAAUAAUUAAACAUAAAAUGAUGAAGUAAGCUUUAUGCGGUAAUUUACUGAAGCCUAAGUAGCUUGAUGUACUGAAUAAUUAUUGGGACUUCUAAAGCACUUGAACUCUAUCAUGUGGUAUUUACACCUUCACCGACAUGGAAAGAGAUUCAGAGGAAGACAGCAUGACUACUACUUUACACUCCAAGCACCAUUUCACUUGAACAGACAGAUGAGAAAAUAGAUUUUCAC